rnacentral:rRNA from 1 species
CCCUUAGAUGUCCUGGGCCGCACGCGCGCUACACUGAUGCAUGCAACGAGUUUCACUUUUCCUGGGUCGAGAGGCCCGGGUAAUCUGUUGAACGUGCAUCGUGAUAGGGAUAGAUCAUUGCAAUUAUUGAUCUUGAACGAGGAAUUCCUAGUAAACGCGAGUCAUCAGCUCGCAUUGAUUACGUCCCUGCCCUUUGUACACACCGCCCGUCGCACCUACCGAUUGAAUGGUCCGGUGAGGCUUUGGGAUCUGAGCGGAAAGAGCGUUUCGCUGUUUCUGCCCGGAAAACUCAGUCGAACCUUAUCAUUUAGAGGAAGGAGAAGUCGUAACA